UACGUAGGGGGCGAGCGUUGUCCGGAUUUAUUGGGCGUAAAGAGCGUGUAGGCGGCUUGGUAGGUCUGCUGUGAAAACUCGGGGCUCAACCCCGAGACGUCGGUGGAAACCACCUGGCUAGAGUCCGGAAGAGGAGAGUGGAAUUCCCUGUGUAGCGGUGAAAUGCGUAGAGAUGGGGGAGAACACUCGUGGCGAAGGCGGCCAGCUAGACCAGUUCUGACACUGAGGCGCGACAGCGUGGGGAGCAAACAGG
rnacentral:rRNA from 1 species